rnacentral:pre_miRNA from 1 species
UCUGCUACUGACUCGCUUUAAUGUAACGCCGUUGAAGAGUUAAAGGUGGUCAGUAGUAGGUC